CUGGGAACGAGCCAGCAGGCC
rnacentral:snRNA from 1 species